rnacentral:tRNA from 2 species
GCACUUGUAGCUCAGUGGUUAGAGCGCGUGUCUUAUAAACACGAGGUCGAUGGUUCGAUCCCAUCCUGGUGCA